rnacentral:rRNA from 1 species
CCCCGCCCUUUUUAGAUUUUUUGACCCUGCUCAGGACGAACGCUGGCGGCGUGCCUAAUACAUGCAAGUCGAGCGGACAGAUGGGAGCUUGCUCCCUGAUGUUAGCGGCGGACGGGUGAGUAACACGUGGGUAACCUGCCUGUAAGACUGGGAUAACUCCGGGAAACCGGGGCUAAUACCGGAUGGUUGUCUGAACCGCAUGGUUCAGACAUAAAAGGUGGCUUCGGCUACCACUUACAGAUGGACCCGCGGCGCAUUAGCUAGUUGGUGAGGUAACGGCUCACCAAGGCGACGAUGCGUAGCCGACCUGAGAGGGUGAUCGGCCACACUGGGACUGAGACACGGCCCAGACUCCUACGGGAGGCAGCAGUAGGGAAUCUUCCGCAAUGGACGAAAGUCUGACGGAGCAACGCCGCGUGAGUGAUGAAGGUUUUCGGAUCGUAAAGCUCUGUUGUUAGGGAAGAACAAGUGCCGUUCAAAUAGGGCGGCACCUUGACGGUACCUAACCAGAAAGCCACGGCUAACUACGUGCCAGCAGCCGCGGUAAUACGUAGGUGGCAAGCGUUGUCCGGAAUUAUUGGGCGUAAAGGGCUCGCAGGCGGUUUCUUAAGUCUGAUGUGAAAGCCCCCGGCUCAACCGGGGAGGGUCAUUGGAAACUGGGGAACUUGAGUGCAGAAGAGGAGAGUGGAAUUCCACGUGUAGCGGUGAAAUGCGUAGAGAUGUGGAGGAACACCAGUGGCGAAGGCGACUCUCUGGUCUGUAACUGACGCUGAGGAGCGAAAGCGUGGGGAGCGAACAGGAUUAGAUACCCUGGUAGUCCACGCCGUAAACGAUGAGUGCUAAGUGUUAGGGGGUUUCCGCCCCUUAGUGCUGCAGCUAACGCAUUAAGCACUCCGCUGGAGACCGCCCCGUG